ACAUGCCUACAACAUAGCGUUAAUGCACUAGAUCCCAUUAGAACUCCGUAGUUAAGCGCGCUCAGGCUAGAGUAGUACUAGGAUGGGUGACCGCCCAGGAUGUCCUACUAUUUUACAUGCC
rnacentral:rRNA from 1 species